CGCGCUCUUGUUGACACAUUGCGAAAGAGACCCUUUAUGAGUCGUAGGAGGCGGCGGUUUUCUGUUGGCAGCCCCCUCGAAUCACUCCGCAAUUGUGUGUUUGUAGCGCGCCAAACGGCUCUUUUUAAACACAGAUA
ensembl:ncRNA F52D10.7 ncRNA